GAUGAACGUUGGCGGCGUGCCUAAGGUAUGCAAGUCGAACGAUCCUUUGGAUCUUUGAGACUUCGGUCGAUUAGAUCCUCUUUGGAUAGUGGCAAACGGGUGAGUAACGCGUUGGUAACCUGCCUCGAAGUCAGGAAUAGCCAUCCGAAAGGGUGAUUAAUACCUGAUAGUCCGCAAUUCCUGCUUGGUUUUGCGGUAAAGUUUCGGCGCUUCGAGAGGGGCCUGCGUCCUAUCAGCUUGUUGGUGAGGUAAUGGCUCACCAAGGCUAAGACGGGUAGCUGGUGUGAGAGCACGAUCAGCCACAAUGGAACUGAGACACGGUCCAUACUCCUACGGGAGGCAGCAAUUAGGAAUCAUGCGCAAUGGGGGCAACCCUGACGCUGCGACGCCGCGUGGAGGAUGAAGGUCUGCGGAUUGUAAACUCCUUUUAUGAGGGAAGAAUAAAUGACGGUACCUCAUGAAUAAGUGCCUGCUAACUACGUGCCAGAAGCAUCGGUGACGCGUAGGGCACAAACGUUAUCCGGAUUUACUGGGCGUAAAGAGAUGCGUAGGCGUCCCUUCAAGUCUUUUGUCAAAGCCCGAAGCUCAACUUCGGAGAGGCAUUGGAUACUGUUGGGAUUGAGUUAUGGAGAGGUGAGGGGAAUUCCCGGUGGAGUGGUGAAAUACGUUGAUAUCGGGAGGAACACCAGUGGCGAAGGCGCCUCACUGGCCAUAUACUGACGCUGAGGCUCGAAAGCGUGGGUAGCAAAACGGAUUAGAUACCCGUGUAGUCCACGCCGUAAACUAUGGAUGCUAGCUGUUGGGUACAACGAUCAUUUUCCUUCGGGAAUUUAAUUGGCGUAUUCAGUGGCGCAGCUAACGCGUUAAGCAUCCCGCGUGUGAAGUACGAUCGCAAGAUUAAAACACAAAUGAAUUGGCGGGGUCCCGCACAAGCAGAGGAGCGCGUGGUUUAAUUCGAUGGCAAUCGAAGAACCUUACCAGGGUUUGACAUGUACCUGCACGCCCCCAGAGACGGGGGAAGCCUUAGAGGGUGGUACACAGGUGCUGCAUGGCCGUCGUCAGCUCGUGUCGUGAGAUGUAGGGUUAAGUCCCGAAACGAGCGCAACCCCUAUCCCAUGUUACAAGUGUCUUGGGAAACUGCCUCGGUAAAACGGGGAGGAAGGUGGGGAUGAUGUCUGGUCCGCAUGGCCCUUAUGUCCUGGGCGACACACGCGCUACAAUGGUUAGUACAAUGGGCAGCCAAGCCGUAAGGCGGAGCUAAUCCCACAAAACUAACCUCAGUUCGAAUUGAGGUCUGAAACUCGACCUCAUGAAGUUGGAUUUGCUAGUAAUCGCGGAUCAGCCAUGCCGCGGUGAAUACGUUCUCGGGACUUGCACACACCGCCCGUCAAGGCAUGGAAGCGGGUAAUACCCGAAGGUGCUCUGUCUUCGGAUGGGGUAACUAAGGUAAUGCUCGUAACUAGGCCU
rnacentral:rRNA from 1 species